GAUGAACGCUGACGGCGUGCCUAAUACAUGCAAGUCGAGCGAACGGACGAGAAGCUUGCUUCUCUGAUGUUAGCGGCGGACGGGUGAGUAACACGUGGAUAACCUACCUAUAAGACUGGGAUAACUUCGGGAAACCGGAGCUAAUACCGGAUAAUAUUUUGAACCGCAUGGUUCAAAAGUGAAAGACGGUCUUGCUGUCACUUAUGGAUGGAUCCGCGCUGCAUUAGCUAGUUGGUAAGGUAACGGCUUACCAAGGCAACGAUGCAUAGCCGACCUGAGAGGGUGAUCGGCCACACUGGAACUGAGACACGGUCCAGACUCCUACGGGAGGCAGCAGUAGGGAAUCUUCCGCAAUGGGCGAAAGCCUGACGGAGCAACGCCGCGUGAGUGAUGAAGGUCUUCGGAUCGUAAAACUCUGUUAUUAGGGAAGAACAUAUGUGUAAGUAACUGUGCACAUCUUGACGGUACCUAAUCAGAAAGCCACGGCUAACUACGUG
rnacentral:rRNA from 1 species